AUAGUUACAUAGUUACAUAGCUGAAAAGAGACUUGUGUCCAUCAAGUUCAGCCUACCUCACAUUUGUUUUUUGCUGUUGAUCCAAAAGAAGGCAAAAAAACCCAGUUUGAAGCACAAUUUUGCAACAAGCUAGGAAAAAAAUUCCUUCUUGACCCCAGAAUGGCAGUCAGAUUUAUCCUUGGAUCAAGCAGUUAUUACCCUACAUUGACAGAUUAUAUCCUUGAAUAUUCUGUUUUUGCAAGUAUGCAUCUAGUAGCUGUUUGAAC
rnacentral:lncRNA from 1 species